CACGCUGUAAACGAUGAUUACUAGGUGUGGGGGGACUGACCCCUUCCGUGCCGGAGUUAACACAAUAAGUAAUCCACCUGGGGAGUACGGCCGCAAGGUUGAAACUCAAAGGAAUUGACG
rnacentral:rRNA from 1 species